CCCUUAGAUGUUCUGGGCUGCACGCGUGCUACAAUGGCGCUUGCAACAAGUCUUGCCAACCCGAUAGGGUGAGCGGAUCUUUGAAGAGGCGUCGUGUUCGGGACAGUUGAUUGCAAUUAUUCGACUCGAACGAGGAAUUCCUUGUAAUCGCGAUUCAUCAUAUCGCGCUGAAUACGUCCCUGCCCUUUGUACACACCGCCCGUCGCUCCUACCGAUUGAGCGAUCCGGUGAAUGUUUUGGACUGGCGUCAGAAGCGGUUCGCUCCUGACACUACGAAAUUUUGUAAACCUUAUCGCUUAGAGGAAGGAAAAGUCGUAACA
rnacentral:rRNA from 1 species